rnacentral:rRNA from 1 species
UGGUUAAAAAGCUCGUAGUUGGAUCUCAACAGCCUUGAAGCGGUUAACUUUGUAGUUUUACUGCUUUAUAGGCUGUGCUUUUGCUGGAGGUUUAGGGGUGCUCUUGAUCGAGUGUCUCUGGAUGCCAGCAGGUUUACUUUGAAAAAAUUAGAGUGCUCAAAGCAGGCUAAAAUGCCUGAAUAUUCGUGCAUGGAAUAAUAGAAUAGGAUGUCGAUCCUAUUUUGUUGGUUUUCGGGACUCGACAUAAUGAUAAAUAGGGACAGUCGGGGGCAUUUGUAUUCAAACGACAGAGGUGAAAUUCUUGGACCGUUUGAAGACAAACUACUGCGAAAGCAUUUGCCAAGAAUGUUUUCGUUAAUCAAGAACGAAAGUUAGAGGUUCGAAGGCGAUUAGAUACCGCCCUAGUUCUAACCAUAAACGAUGCCAGCUAGCGAUCUGCCUGCGUUUUUACUGUAGACUGGGCAGGAAGCUUCCGGGAAACCAAAGCAUUUGGGUUCCAGGGGAAGUAUGGU